AUAUCAAUAAGCGGAGGAAAAGAAACCAACAGGGAUUGCCCUAGUAACGGCGAGUGAAGCGGCAACAGCUCAAAUUUGAAAUCUGGCCCUAGGCCCGAGUUGUAAUUUGCAGAGGAUGCUUUUGGCAAAGCGCUUACCGAGUCCCCUGGAACGGGGCGCCACAGAGGGUGAGAGCCCCGUAUGGUAUGACGCCGAGCCUCUGUAAAGCUCCUUCGACGAGUCGAGUAGUUUGGGAAUGCUGCUCUAAAUGGGAGGUAAAUUUCUUCUAAAGCUAAAUACCGGCCAGAGACCGAUAGCGCACAAGUAGAGUGAUCGAAAGAUGAAAAGCACUUUGAAAAGAGGGUUAAAUAGCACGUGAAAUUGUUGAAAGGGAAGCGCUCGUGACCAGACUUGCGCCGGGCGGAUCAUCCAGCGUUCUCGCUGGUGCACUCCGCCCGGCUCAGGCCAGCAUCGGUUUUCGCCGGGGGACAAAAGCUUCGGGAACGUGGCUCCCUUCGGGGAGUGUUAUAGCCCGUUGCUUAAUACCCCGGCGGGGACCGAGGACCGCGCUUCGGCAAGGAUGCUGGCGUAAUGGUCAUCAGCGACCCGUCUUGAAACACGGACCGAGGAGUCAAGCAUUAGUGCGAGUGUUUGGGUGUAAAACCCGCACGCGUAAUGAAAGUGAACGUAGGUGAGAGCUUCGGCGCAUCAUCGACCGAUCCUGAUGUUUUCGGAUGGAUUUGAGUAGGAGCAUUAACGCUUGGACCCGAAAGAUGGUGAACUAUACUUGAAUAGGGUGAAGCC
rnacentral:rRNA from 1 species